rnacentral:rRNA from 1 species
GUGGGGAAUUUUGGACAAUGGGCGCAAGCCUGAUCCAGCCAUGCCGCGUGUCUGAAGAAGGCCUUCGGGUUGUAAAGGACUUUUGUCAGGGAAGAAAAGGAUAGGGUUAAUACCCCUGUCUGAUGACGGUACCUGAAGAAUAAGCACCGGCUAACUACGUGCCAGCAGCCGCGGUAAUACGUAGGGUGCGAGCGUUAAUCGGAAUUACUGGGCGUAAAGCGGGCGCAGACGGUUACUUAAGCAGGAUGUGAAAUCCCCGGGCUCAACCUGGGAACUGCGUUCUGAACUGGGUGACUAGAGUGUGUCAGAGGGAGGUAGAAUUCCACGUGUAGCAGUGAAAUGCGUAGAGAUGUGGAGGAAUACCGAUGGCGAAGGCAGCCUCCUGGGAUAACACUGACGUUCAUGCCCGAAAGCGUGGGUAGCAAACAGGAUUAGAUACCCUGGUAGUCCACGCCCUAAACGAUGUCGAUUAGCUGUUGGGCAGCUUGACUGCUUAGUAGCGAAGCUAACGCGUGAAAUCGACCGCCUGGGGAGUACGGUCGCAAGAUU